rnacentral:rRNA from 1 species
GACGAACGCUGGCGGCGUGCCUAAUACAUGCAAGUAGAACGCUGAAGGAGGAGCUUGCUCUUCUGGAUGAGUUGCGAACGGGUGAGUAACGCGUAGGUAACCUGCCUGGUAGCGGGGGAUAACUAUUGGAAACGAUAGCUAAUACCGCAUAACAGUAGAUGUUGCAUGACAUUUGCUUAAAAGGUGCAAUUGCACCACUACCAGAUGGACCUGCGUUGUAUUAGCUAGUUGGUGGGGUAACGGCUCACCAAGGCGACGAUACAUAGCCGACCUGAGAGGGUGAUCGGCCACACUGGGACUGAGACACGGCCCAGACUCCUACGGGAGGCAGCAGUAGGGAAUCUUCGGCAAUGGACGGAAGUCUGACCGAGCAACGCCGCGUGAGUGAAGAAGGGUUUCGGAUCGUAAAGCUCUGUUGUAAGAGAAGAACGAGUGUGAGAGUGGAAAGUUCACACUGUGACGGUAUUUUACCAGAAAGGGACGGCUAACUACGUG